GAGUUUGAUCGUGGCUCAGGACGAACGCUGGCGGCGUGCUUAACACAUGCAAGUCGAACGGAAAGGCCCUGCUUUUGUGGGGUGCUCGAGUGGCGAACGGGUGAGUAACACGUGAGUAACCUGCCCUUGACUUUGGAUAACUUCAGGAAACUGGGGCUAAUACCGGAUAGGAGCUCCUGCUGCAUGGUGGGGGUUGGAAAGUUUCGGCGGUUGGGGAUGGACUCGCGGCUUAUCAGCUUGUUGGUGGGGUAGUGGCUUACCAAGGCUUUGACGGGUAGCCGGCCUGAGAGGGUGACCGGCCACAUUGGGACUGAGAUACGGCCCAGACUCCUACGGGAGGCAGCAGUGGGGAAUAUUGCACAAUGGGCGGAAGCCUGAUGCAGCAACGCCGCGUGCGGGAUGACGGCCUCGG
rnacentral:rRNA from 1 species